rnacentral:tRNA from 1 species
UCCAGGGUAGCCUAGUGGACAUGGUAUCUGCCCGGUAAGCGGAACAUUGUGGGUUCGUUUCCCAUCCCAGGAC